CAGGCAAAUCUGAGGACACCUUUGUCACUGGAGCUAGCCACUUGUUACACCUGCAGGCAAUGAACUGAUUGGCACUUCCUUGUUUGUGACAGCGUGAAAGACUGAGCCCUGAAGCUAGAUGCAUGAUGGGAAAUGCAAUGAGCUGCUUGUCAGGGAAGAGACAAUUCACGGGAGAGGACCCGCGAAAGCUGUAUACAUUCCCAAUUUACUCACAUCUCUGCGGUUUUUAAGGGGGAAAGAAUGGGAUGAAAUAUUUUUAAACGGUAAUUACCUGGCUGGGAUCCGACAUGCAGGGAUUAAUGGAGUUUGAAAAGACCAGACAAAGCUGCUGAACAGAAGGAAAUCAAAGCGCAUUUGGUUGGACCGUUAAGACGUGUGAAAUUUUCUCGCCUCUCAUUUGAACAGAGUCCAGGAGAAGUUUCAAGGUUGCUGAAUUCUUCCUUAAAUCAACGAAGCAACUGCUCAGUGGUUAUUAUAUAUCAGUUGCCGAAAUUCUGAGAAACGUUUGAUGGAAAAAAACGUCAUAUGAUAUUUAGGCUGUUUUAUACAGCAUUUUAAAGUUCAACAUGUGUUCCU